UACGAAGGGGGCUAGCGUUGUUCGGAUUUACUGGGCGUAAAGCGCGUGUAGGCGGGUCGUUAAGUUGGGGGUGAAAUCCCGAGGCUCAACCUCGGAACUGCCUUCAAAACUGGCGACCUGGAGCAAAGAAGAGGCGAGUGGAAUUGCGAGUGUAGAGGUGAAAUUCGUAGAUAUUCGCAGGAACACCGGUGGCGAAGGCGGGUCUCUGGGCAAUUCCUGACGCUGAGGCGCGAAAGCGUGGGGAGCAAACGGG
rnacentral:rRNA from 1 species